CCCACAUUAGAAGAGAAUCAAGAACCUUAGCCCUCAAAGACCUGCUCCCACAUGGUUUCUGUGGAACCCCAGACACCAACUACUAUGACGAAUGACACUCAGUGUUUUGGAAGGCAAAUACCAACUGAAGAAUCUGAUAACCACUUCUCUCACUAGUCCACUGGUGAAUAAUAACUCAAUCUACCAGCUGAACUGCAUAAUUCCACAUUGCUUCAAGGCUUCACAUUGCAUCCCUCACCAAAACCAAUCACCAUUUCCAAAAUCAGAAACUCUACAUGACCAAGAAGAGGUAGAAAAUGUGAAGAAGUCACAAGAUCACCUGGAACACUAUAAUUAAAGGUAUCAUGCAAAAUAACUUGAGUCUCAUAAAGCACAGAAGCCAUGGACAAUGAGAACUGGAUCAUCUAUUUAUCCUCAUAAAUACAUCUAUGUGAAGCCAGAGAAAAUAUCAUCUUAAGCUGCUUUGAAAUGUAUAGGUCUUGUGCAUAGUCCCUAAAUGUUCAUUAAACAUUAUCCACAAAAACACACAAAGAAACAUGAUACAAUUGCCAAAUAAUUUAUUUUUGAAAUUUUUAAGAAUUUUUCUAAUUAUACCUUCUGCUGUUUAUUCAGAAAUUAUGUGUACGGUUAGAUUGAUGUGUGAGAAUAUUUUUCAAUGUACAUUUUAGGCUUAAGUCUGAAAUUUCAGAAUUACAACGUACCAUCAAAAGACAAGCAAAUAGGAUUGAAGAACACCAGAAAUAUUUGAUAGGACGAAAUUCAGUAAGUCAAUCUCUUGAUUUCCAUCACACUAAAAAAGGAGAUUUUUAUUUCUCUAUUAGAAGAUUGUAGCAAUGUCUUAGCUAAUAUGAAAAAUCUCAUUGUAAGUAUGUUAAUCUACUCAUACAGAUAUUCUCUGCCAUCACCAGUAUGUGUCCACUUUGGAUUUUUUUAUUUUUAUUUUAUUUUUUUUAAACUUUUAUUUAAUGAAUAUAAAUUUCCAAAGUACAGCUUAUGGAUUACAAUGGCUUCCCCCCCAUAACGUCCCUCCCACCCGCAACCCUCCCCUUUCCCACUCCCUCUCCCCUUCCAUUCACAUCAAGAUUCAUUUUCGUUUCUCUUUAUAUACAGAAGAUCAGUUUAAAGGAUUUUGGAUUUUUAAAAGGAAAUUGAGAGAAAUGACUACUCCAGUAUAGCCUUACAAAGUAACUUAGUAUUCCGAGCACUGCAGGUUCAGAAACAAACUUUUCCCUUCGGUCUGUGUUCAUAAACCUUUACAAAGACUUAGUUCAACCUCACAAAACAUUGAAAUAUAAUCCAGGAUUUCAAUUAAUUAUUGAAUAGUGAACACUGUAUAA
rnacentral:lncRNA from 1 species